AUUGAACGCUGGCGGCAGGCCUAACACAUGCAAGUCGAACGGUAACAGGAAGAAGCUUGCUUCUUUGCUGACGAGUGGCGGACGGGUGAGUAAUGUCUGGGAAACUGCCUGAUGGAGGGGGAUAACUACUGGAAACGGUAUCUAAUACCGCAUAAUGUCGCAAGACCAAAGAGGGGGACCUUCGGGCCUCUUGCCAUCGGAUGUGCCCAGAUGGGAUUAGCUAGUAGGUGGGGUAACGGCUCACCUAGGCGACGAUCCCUAGCUGGUCUGAGAGGAUGACCAGCCACACUGGAACUGAGACACGGUCCAGACUCCUACGGGAGGCAGCAGUGGGGAAUAUUGCACAAUGGGCGCAAGCCUGAUGCAGCUAUGCCGCGUGUAUGAAGAAGGCCUUCGGGUUGUAAAGUACUUUCAGCGGGGAGGAAGGGAGUAAAGUUAAUACCUUUGCUCAUUGACGUUACCCGCAGAAGAAGCACCGGCUAACUCCGUG
rnacentral:rRNA from 1 species